rnacentral:lncRNA from 1 species
AUGCUAGGUUGAGUAGCUGCUUUACUAAUUAGGAUCUCGGUAGAAGUCGAGUGAUUUUUCUAGCACUCGCGCGAGGUCAGGACAUUGAUUGUACCCACUUUCAUAUCAUACUGAUGUUGGUCUGUGGACACGGAUCCAUGGGGAUGCGUGGUCUACGAGAUAAAAUUUGAAUAAGGAUUAAUGUGCGGAUACCUGUGUCAAGCGAUUGAACGUACUAAGCACAUGCCGAGAAAUAUGGUAAAUCGGUAAGCCUAGUACCUGAGUGAACCUGGAAGUGGACAUAUCCCCUCACGCGACCUGAGACGUGGUCUCCCAUUCCGGUUAUGGUGGGUACAAGUGCGGUCACUGCACGAUGGCAGUCGGGGUCAGUGAGGCAUUGUAUGCCAAGGCAGUGAGCCCUGAUCUGCUGACGGGGAAUCGAUGGGGACGAUUGAUGUGUGUGGGGACGGAGUGCCUCGCCAUGUCGUGUGUUUAGGUUUACCUUGCAAGGUUUAAAAACUCGAUUCGAAUCAUCUGCUUUUCGCAGCUAAUGAGACUGCUAGAUCCAUUGUACUGGAUCGAGUAACAAGUGGAAAUGUGAUGAUGGGGCAAAAGAUGUCGAUUGCUAAAUAUGCUUGAUACCAUGAAUGAGUAGAUAGUACACAUUUAGUCUUAAGAGAGUCACACUUAAACUUGACAAAGCUAAAACUUGAUUUUUAGACUCAGCUAGUGCUUUUGGCAACCAAACCCCUCAGCCAAACAGCUGCAUGUCUAGAGGUAGAGGAGUAGACUCCUCACACCGGGUAAGUCUAGCUGAGUAUUAGUAUACUCAGCCUUGCUUGUGGCAUAAUUUUACAGGUUCUCUGGAGGACAUGGUUGCUGGAGUGACUUGGCCGUCCAUCUUGCCACCAGGUUGGGCAGUCGAGUGGGACCCUACCACGGCUGAGGAGGAGCAUGAGGAGUGAUGGGACAGGCUUCCGCAUCUCUUUGUUUAUUUACCGUUAGUUUUAUUUCGCUGCACUUCAAACAAUGAUGACUACUUUUGCUAAAACUCCGAUGAUGAUGUAAUAAGUUUAAUACUCUUGAAUGUAUGGUUUUAUGCUUUAUUGUAUUUGCUCUGUGACUCACCAUCGAGUGAGAUUGUGGUACAUGAUCCUGUCAGUGGCCUCGUCGGACUAGAUCCGAGGGAUUGACGGGUUAUUCCCAUUUAGGUGUCGUCUAGCCUCUAAGGCGGGACUUAGGCACUUAAGUUGGAAUAAUUCGGGCAGUUCCACCACAGCUGGUAUCGGAGCUUGUACCACCACAGAGGAAUCGAUAAACUAUAAAUACCAUCCUUUUUCAAAGUAAAAACUGGUUAGAAACAAAUAUUGGAUAGAUUGUCAGGACGAUAAGGAUAGACCUAGGACGUGGAGCCUUAGGAUAAUAGAGGGGUAGCUAGGUGGCUAUUUGAGUAAGCCCUACCGGCUACUAUAAGGGAUGGGAGUUCUUUCCUAUUCCCUCUAAGUUGAUGUGAGGUCGUUCAGGACGAGCAUGCAUGCAUCCUUAAUUAAACUACUUAAUAAUUGGGGUAAGAACCUUAAUACACAAUGAUGACCAAUUUAAGUACCCCAGUACCAUUAUCGUAGUUAUAGAGAGGCAGAGUUGUGAUCCCCUUUCUUUUUAUAAUUCUUUUUCCUUUACUUACGCUUAACCGUACACAUAUGACUUCUCACGGAUCCUCGGAUGAAGGGAAUGCACUGUCCCACACUAACGGGCUUGCAAGAGAGGGUUUCCCCGGUAUCUUGUGGGAGGUACUUCAGGGAGCUGGUUACACGACGCCUCCCCAGUACGCGGUGCAGCAGUUCGAGAAGCACCGAGUGCUCCACUGUAAGGUGAGGAUGACCCUAGAGCCUCAUCCCCUACAACCAGGCUGGUGUUCGCUGGACUCUGAGUCUUUUGGAUACCGGGCUGAGGAUACUAUGGAGGCAAUUGCUCUUCACGGACUGACCACCUUCUGCGGAUUCCACCCCUUGGAGCUAUCCACUCACCCCAUUGGCUUGUUCCCCGCGGAAAAGGAGGACGACCCAAUGUGGAAGGACCGAGUGGAGCAUGCCAAGGAUAUCUGGGCUAUCUACCCAGGUCAGACUGCUCACUUGACGGUGCAGUGCAUGAAUGCCCUGUAUCAUCUACAAGUGAUGCGUGGAGAGGCGAUGUCCCAUCUAAUGGCAUUAUUGGAGGCUACCAAGAUCACUUUGGAUAACAGAGAGGAACUUGUGGUUGACUUGUCCACUAAGAUGGUGGAAAAAGACCUACAGGUGGAACAAUUGUCCAAUGAGAUCCAAGAGCUUGAGGAGCUAGUGGGAACCAGGGAGAACACUAUCGAGGUUCUCGAGGAUCAGCUUAUCAACACUCAGCAGCAACUCGCGGAGGCUAACUAGCAUCUGGAUAUGCACCACCAGGAGAUCCAGGACAUGGAGGCCAACGAGGAUGUCGACAUCGAGGGAGGAGAGGAGCCUACCUCCAGCUUGGACACUGCUGGCUCAGGGAGACCACCUUCCCCUGAGUCGAGCGUUGCCUCGUUUGCUCACUAGGUCGUAGGGAUAGAGUUAGAAGUCUGUGACAGUAGAACUCCUCGAAGCUAGCUUAGCUUUUGCACCCUUGGGGUACUAGGCUAGAUAGAGUUGAGUCUUUUGAGUUACUGAUGUAAUCAUGACAAACUCUUUUGGAAGCAUGGUUGAUGAAUGCUGUCAGUCUUAAUUUAAGAAGAAAAGUUUAGACCAUGUGGAAUCUUUUAUAAUUAUGCAAAAAUAUAUUAGUUUCACCCUUUUGACUCUUUCACCACGAUUGAACCUUGAACCUCAGAAAUGUGAUAUUGAAAAUAUAUAUGAUUUUUUAGAUGGCAGGAAGAGCGCGUCGUGGUCAGAAUGAGCGCGUUCCUCCACCACCGCCACCACCUCCUACUCUGCAGGAGCUGAUGGCUCAGCAGAACAAGAUCUUGAGACAGCUAGCUCAGCGUCAGCCACCACUCAGCACUAUGGUGGUGGUGAUCAUCAGCGUCACCCCGCAGCAGCCACUUAUCAGGAGUUCCUCAGUACCCAGCCACCGUUGUUCACCAGGGCCGAGGACCCCCUUGAUGCUGAUGUAUGGCUGAGAGUAGUGGAAUCCAAAUUCCCGCUACUCCAUGGAGUCUGUUCAGAGGUGACUAAGGUCAGGUUCGCCACCUAGCAGCUUCGUGGACCCGCACGGACAUGGUGGGACCACUAUCUUGCUAUGCAGCCAGCUGACCAUGAAGUGGAAUGGAGAGAGUUCAACGCAGCUUUCAGGGGGCACCAUAUACCAGCAGGCAUUAUGGACCGAAAGCUCAACGAGUUUCUGGCACUCACUCAGGGAAACCGGACAGUGUUAUAGUAUGCUCAGGCCUUUAAUGACCUGUGUUAGUAUGCCGGAUAUCACGCAGACAUGGACGAGAAGAAGAGGGACAGGUUCAGGAGGGGGCUCAGCACUAAGCUCCGUGACCGUCUCAACACAGUCAGGGCCAACAACUACAAGGAGUUAGUUAACAUGGCCAUUUCUCAAGAGGAUUGUAUCACAGCUCGUGAGGUAGAAAAGAAGAGGAAGACCCCUGUGGCAGGACCAUCAGCUCAGCCACAUCGCUUCAGGAUCGUGUCUGACACUCAGAACAGGGGACCCCAGCAGCAACAAGGACGUUGGGUGAUCCGGCCACAGCAGCAGCAGCAAGCACCCAAUCGCACCCAGUUUCUAGUUCAGAGGAACAAUCAGCCAUAGCAGUAGCAGUACCGUCAGGCCAAUGACAACAGGUGUUUCACUUGUGGUAACACCGGACAUUAUGCCAAGAAUUGCCCCAGAAACCAGCAGUGGUAGGGGCAGAAUGCCAACCAGAACCAAGGCAAGAGGCAGAAAGUGCAAGUGAGGCAGGGCAGACUGAACUUCACCACCAUGACUGACAUUCCAGAGGGAGCACCCGUCAUGACUGGUAUCUUUUCAGUUUUGAAUUAUCCUGCUAUUAUUCUUUUUGAUUCUGGUGCAUCACAUAGUUUUAUCAGUGCAAAAUUUAGUGCCAAGUGCCAAUUACCUUUUCACCACACAAAUGGGGGUAUUACAAUUUCCACGCCAGGAGGCAGGGUUGCCACCUACCAAAUCAACAAGAAUGUGCCUAUAAAGUUUGGUAGUUUGAUAAUCAAAACCAACCUCCUCAUUUUGGGUUUGGAUAGUGUGGAUAUCAUAUUGGGAACUGAUUGGUUAUCCAGGCAUCUGGGAGUACUUGAUAUUGCAGCAAGGGCCAUUGAGAUUCACUCCCCUUCUUGUGGCGAGACUACUUUAUAUUUGCCUGAGCAGGGUUGUACCCGCUCUUGUGCAUUCACCAUGAUAGAGUCCCAGUUGAGAGCAUCCCUGUGGUCUGUGACUACCCAGAUGUCUUUCCUGAUGAAUUGCCGGGAAUGCCACCCGACAGAGGCAUAGAAUUCGUGAUUGAAUUGCAGCCUGGGACUGCUCCUAUAUCCAAGAGGCCUUAUAGGAUGCCUCCAGCGGAAUUGGCGGAAUUGAAAAAGCAACUGCAAGAGUUGUUGGACAAGGGGUUCAUUCGCCCGAGUACCUCACCGUGGGGAUGUCCAGCCUUAUUUGUGAAGAAAAAGGAUGAGAGUUUGAGAAUGUGUGUCGAUUACCGCCCUCUCAAUGCGGUGACCAUCAAGAACAAAUACCCACUGCCCCACAUUGAUGUUUUGUUUGAUCAAUUGGUGGGAGCCAAAGUGUUCUCCAAGUUAGACCUUCGCUCGGGCUACCAUCAGAUCAAGAUCCGUGCCAGUGAUAUUCCGAAGACGGCUUUUUCUACCAGAUAUGAGCUUUAUGAGUUUUUGGUGAUGUCUUUUGGGCUGACCAAUGCCCUGGCUUAUUUCAUGUAUCUAAUGAACUCAGUAUUCAUGCCAGAGUUGGACAAAUUUGUGGUGGUUUUCAUUGAUGAUAUUCUGGUCUAUUCCAAGAAUGAAGACGAGCAUACUGAGCAUCUUCACAUCGUGCUUCAGCGACUGCGUGAUCAUCGUUUGUAUGCUAAGUUGUCUAAAUGUGAAUUCUGGCUGAGGGAAAUUAAAUUAUUGGGUCACACAAUUUCUCAGGAUGGGAUAUCAGUUGAUCCUGAUAAGGUACAAGAAGUAAUGGAUUGGAAACCUCCUACUACAGUGCGACAGAUUCGGAGUUUUCUGGGAUUGGCAGGGUAUUAUCGACGAUUCAUUCCGGAUUUCUCCAGAAUUGCCAAGCCAAUGACUGAAUUGUUGAAGAAAGGAGUCAAGUAUGAUUGGAGCCAGAAGUGUGAGGAUGCCUUUCAUACACUAAGGCAGCACUUGACAACAGCACCAGUGCUGGCUCAACCUGAUAACACCAAGCCCUUUGAAGUUUAUUGUGAUGCUUCCCGUACUGGAUUGGGAUGUGUCUUAAUGCAAGACAACAGAGUAAUUGCUUAUGCCUCCCGAGCACUUAGACCCCAUGAGCAUAACUACCCCACACAUGAUCUAGAGUUAGCAGCCGUGGUUCAUGCUCUCAAGAUAUGGAGACAUUACUUGAUGGGAGCUCACUGCAACAUUUACACUGAUCAUAAGAGUCUCAAAUACAUUUUCACUCAGGCUGAUCUUAAUAUGAGGCAAAUAAGAUGGUUAGAGCUAAUCAAGGACUAUGAUUUGGAGGUGCAUUACCAUCCUGGCAAGGCCAAUGUUGUGGCAGAUGCCUUAAGCAGGAAGGCCCAGUGCAAUUGUAUGAACAUGGAUGCAAGAGUCACCACCCUAUGUGAUGAGUUGUGCAAACUAAAUCUAGAAGUCGUUUCCUUCGGUGCUUUGAAUUAUAUUCAGUAGAGCCCACAUUACAAGAGCAAAUAGUCAUGGCACAGAUUGGAGACAAGGGUGUUCAGGUUAUCAAGGAAAUGAUCGAACAGAAAGUAGGAAAAUACAAAUGAUUCUGUCAGGACAGCAAAGGAAUUCUAUGGUUUGGAGACCGACUGGUUGUCCCCAAGAACCCUGAGCUUAUAAAGAAGAUAUUGGAUGAAGCUCACCUUUCAAAAUUUUCCAUGCAUCCCGGCAGUAACUGUAACACCCCAAGUGUUACCAUGGCUAUGGCACAUCUAUACACUAAUGACUGUGAUCACAUGUGGAAGAAACUUAAGGAGAAGAGCAUAAGAACCUUGGAGAUCAUGUAUUAACCAAGAAUGUUAAUGACCUAAAAGCAUUACUCAAGCUUUUGUGCACUUACCACCUUGGGCAAGAAGGGAGUAAACCCUGGACCUCUCUUGAACCCCUAUCUCCUAAAACCAUGGUUGAAGGGGGAGAGAUUAAGCAAAUGUGCAAAUCAUGACCUAACCUUUGGCUAAAGUUAAGUGACAUAUUAAUCAACAAAUAUAGAGAGGAAACAUUGCAAAAAGACCCCUUAAGAAACCCCAAAUACAUUCUCUAAGUAGAGAAAGAGCUAGAGCUCUCUAAUUCUCUCUAAGUCAAAAUCUACACCUAAUCUAAAGAUCCACCGUGUUCACCUUGAAGAUGGCACCAAAACCACCUAAGUUCUAUACCAAAAAUGUGGCAUACCACCUAAGGCACCCCCUGGAAAAAGUUGAGACCGAGCCCUUGACGUUUGACAUGUCUUGACAUCGUUUUUGUCGCGAAGUGGGCAGGGAGACAAGCCAGAUUUGGCGUCCGCAUAUCUUCUGACCUAGGGCUUAUCUUCCCUUGGAACUCACAUACAAGAGAUAGCCAUAGGUGCCAGGAAGAGAUCUGCGCUGGAUUUUUGCCAAGAUUCGCACGUAUGCGAUCUCAGCAAGCUUUUGAACAUGGGCAGAAGAACACCUCCACGUGUUCGAAGCGCUCUGCGCGCGCCAGAGCACGCCCGCGCCCAACCCCGCGCGCCCCGCUCCACGCCAAGCUGUGCCCGCGUCUCCUCGCGCCCGCGCCUAUAAAGCACCCUCGGGCGUCGACCGUACUCCUCCGCGCACGCUCGACCUCACCGGAGCCCGAAACCACCGGCGUUUGCCCCGUGCACGGCGUGCCCGCGACCACCUGAGCCCCUGCCACCGUAGACCGGCCAACAAAGCCCUUCCCAGCCACGCCCGACCCUUGGAAGAGAAUGUGCACGCCUUGAUGAAGCUCCCCGAGCAAGGAAUCAGAGUUUGCUUCGCCGGAGAAGCCAGUCCACGGUCGCCGGACUUCGCCCGACCGCCGGUGAAUGUAGACCGGGUAAUCCUCUGCUCCAUUCUUCGAUUCCUUGUGCACAUAGCCUCAGCGUCACCCCGAGAAGCUCAUCGUGACACUUGAUUGAACUAGAUCAUCGUGGUUUAGCCGGAACACCCGCCGCCGACGAGAUCACCCGCCUGCGCACGUGGACCGGGCGAUUCCGGCCACCUCCGCCGUCGAGCCGUACAUCGUUGUGACCGCCAGGACCUCCCGGAGCCAACUCGGCCCCUCGCCGGACCUCUCUCGCCGCUGGUAAGCCGUGCCGCCCUUUUCAUUUCCGCGGGUACUGUUUAAACCUAGGGAGGGACCGCGAGGGAGAAGAAGAAAAGGCUAGGGAGUUUUGCGAAUUGUCAGUGACUCAGGGGAAUAGUAGCGCAGGGAUAUAACUGAGAGGAUUAGUUUGGAAACAACCCGAGGACUUCGGUGCAAAGUGGUUUUUCCAGGAAACCUUUUAUUUAAUCUGAUUUAAAUUCAAACAGAACUUGAAUAAUUCAUAUCUUCUGUUUUAUUCACCCAAAUCCAGUCAAACCAAUUUUGCCAGAUCUUAAAUAAUGUAAACAACUUAAGAAAAAUAUAAAACCCCUAGUGUUACAGAAAACUUUAAGGUUCUGAUUUAAAUAUUGAUUUGGCCAAAAGCUGAAUAAUAGGAGGAAAAAUAGUUGCACUGUUAGACUGAGGCUAAGAAAAUUUGGAGAAGUACCUAAUUACUUCCUAACCUGUUUAAAAAUAAUAAACUCUUCUGUACACCCAGUUAAGAUAGAGUUUACCAUUUAAACCCUUUUUAGCCUAAAGUUAAAGAAAAUAUUAAUGAAGGUUUAAAUAAGGAACCAGGGAGCACCCAUAUUUUUGUUAGUCUACUUAUUCAGUAUAGUUCACUAGAAAAAUUUAUUAUACUCUGGUUUAGUACAAAAUAAUUGGGAAACCUUUUAUUUUAAGAAAACAAGGAAAACUUAGAAAAACCCUAGAAAAAUAACCCCAAAAUGAAAACACCCCAAACCUUGGGAUAAUUAAUGUUUUGUUAUUACGAACAUAGGAAAAAUAUGAAAUCUGCUGUUUGACAUUUUUCAAAUAACAAGAUAGUAGAAAGUGCCUUUUUGACAUUAAACUUUAGAAAAUUCCAACUAAAUAACCAAAAAUUAACCUUCUGUGAUUUUUGGCACAGAGGCUUGUGAUUACUGUUAGAUACCAACAAAAAUUACCCUUAAGACAGAACCCACCCCUAGUUAAGAGUUGUAGUGCAAAGUGACCCCCUUUGCCCAACUUUUGUUAUUUUUGUCCAAGGCAUACUCUUUUUAUGCUGGACCUCAAAUUCAUAGAACAAACUAUAGUGACCAAUGACAACCCACUGUAAUUUUUAUAAAAUUUUUGGAACAAGUUAAACCACUGUUGUAGUUCAAACCCACACUAGAAUUCAUAAUUAGAAAUGAAAAAGGGGAAAUUGAUAAUGAAAACUUCUGUCACCCUAACCCAACUAGCAAAACCCUUUUUAAUUUGCCCACUAAAAUAUGUAAGGGAAAAAUACAAAUCCACUAUGCUUAUUCUCCACAACACCUAAACCUAGAGUGAUAAGCAUAAACCACUAAAAGCCACGUAUGACCAAGAAACCAUAAGUUGCUAACUAACUUAGUUCUUCUUCCUUUAGCAUAAUGUUGUUAAAUCCUGCAUAAUCAUGACAUGCAUAUUCUUAUUCAUUGCAUUCGAUAGACUGCAACCUCGCUGACGGAGAGUACGUCCUCGUGCCAGAGCAAGGUGUUGCUCAGGAGGUAGCCCCGGAUCCAGCACCAGAGCCUGCACCAGAGGAUCUGCCUGCCACAGCUUUGGAAGGCAAGCCCCGGUUUUAUGCAUAACCUGUUCUAUAUACUAUUUUACUACACUUAAUGAUUGUAGGAUUGAAUGUGCACUUAAGUGUAGGAGUUGUUUGGAACCCUAGUUGCAUGAUCUCAGGAAUCCCAUUGAGAUGAAUACUAGUAAGCUAAGUCGAGUAGCUGCUUUAUGAAUUAGGGAUUUCGGUAGAAGUCGAGUGAUUUUUCUAGCACUCGUGCGAGGUCGGGAAAUUGGUUGUAUCCACUUUCUUAUCAUAAUGAUGCUGGUUUGUGGACAACAAUCCAUGGGGAUUGGUUGUCCAUAGGAUAAAAAUUGGAAUAAGGAUUAAGGUGUGGUACCGUGUGUCAAGCGUUUGAACGUACUAAGCACAUGCCGAGAGAUAUGGUAAAUCGGUAAGCCUAGUACCUGAGUGAACCUAGCAGUGGACAUAUCCCCUCACGUGACCUGAGACGAGGUCUCCCAUUCCGGUUAUGGUGGGUACAAGUGCGGUCACUGCACGAUGGCAGUCGGGGUCAGUGAGGCAUUGUACGCCAAGGCGGUGAGCCCUGAUCUGCUGACGGGGAAUCGAUGGGGACGGUUGAUGUGUGUGGGGACGGAGUGCCCCUACAUGUCGUGUGUUUAGGUUUACCUUGCAAGGAUAAAAACUCGAUUUGAAUCGUCUGCUUCUCGCAGCUAAUGAGACUGCUUGAUCCAUGCUGCUACAUUGAGUAACAAGUGGAAAUGUGAUAAGUUGAUACAAGAUGUUGAUUGCUAAAUAUGUUUGAUACUAUGUAUGAGUAGAUAGUACACAUUAAGCCUUAAGAGAGUCACACUUAAACUUGACAAAGCUAAAACUUGAUUUACAAACUCAGCUAGUGCUUUUGGCAACCAAACCCCACAGCCAAACAGCUGCAUGUCCAGAGGUAGAGGAGUAGACUCCUCACACCGGGUAAAUCUAGCUGAGUAUUAGUAUACUCAGCCUUGCUUGUGGCAUAAUUUUUUUUACAGGUUCUUUGGAGGACAUGGUUGCUGGAGUGACUUGGCCAUCCAUCUUGCCACCGGGUUGGACUAUCGAGUGGGAUCCUGCCUCGGCUGAGGAGGAGCAUGAGGAGUGAAGGGACAGGCUUCCCCAUCCCUCUGUUUAUUUAUCGUUAGUUUCAUUCCGCUGCACUUCGUACAGUAAUGAUUACUUUUGCAAAAACUCUGAUGAUGAUGUAAUAAUUUAAUACUCCUUAAUGUAUGGUUAUGCUUUAUUGUAUUUGCUCUGUGACUCACCAUCGAGUGAGACUGUGGUACUUGAUCCUGUCAGUGGCCUCGUCGGACUAGAUCCGAGGGAUUGACGAGUUAUUCCCAUUUAAGUGUGGUCUAGCCUUUGAGGCGGGACUUAGGCACUUAAGUUGGAAUAAUUCGGGCAGUUCCGCCACAGCUGGUAUCGGAGCUUGUACCACCACAGAGGAAUCAAUAAACUAUAAAUACCAUCCUUUUUCAAAGUAAAACUUGAUAGAAACAAAUGAUGGAUAGAUCGUAGGACGAUCAGGAUAGACCUAGGAUGGAAGCCUUAGGAUGAUAGAAGGGUAGUUAGGUGGCUAAGUGAUUAAGCCCUACAGACUACUAUAAGGGAUGGGAGUUCUUCCCUAUUCCCUUUACAUUGAUGUGAGGUCGUUCAGGACGAGCAUGCAUGCAUUCUUAAGUAAACUAAUGGAUAAUUGGGUAAGGACUUUAAUACAAAAUGAUUACCAACUAAGUACCCUAGUAUCAUUGUUGUAGUUAGAAAGAGGCUGAGUUGUGAUUCCUUUUUCUUUUUAUAAUUCUUUUUCUUUUACUUACGCUUAACCGUACACAGAUGACUUCCCACGGAUCCUCGGACGAAGGGAAUGCACUGUCCCACACUGACGGGCUUGCACGAGAGGGCUUUCAUCGUAUUUUGUGGGAGGUACUUUAGGGGGCCGGUUACACGACGCCUCCUCAGUACGCGGUGCAGCGGUUCGAGAAGCACCGAGUGCCCCGCUGUAGGGUGAGGAUGACCCUGGAGCCUCAUCCCCUGCAGCCAGGCUGGCGUUUGCUGGACUCUGAGUCCUUUGGAUACCGGGCUGAGGAUACGAUCGAGGCGAGUGCUCUACACGGAUUGACCACUUUCUGCGGAUUCCACCCCUUGGAGCUGUCCACCCACCCCAUUGGCUUGUUCCCCGCUGAGAAGGAGGAUGACCCAAUGUGGAAGGACCGAGUGGAGCAUGCCAAGGACAUCUGGACUAUCUACCCAGGUCAGACUGCUCACUUGACAGUACGGUGCAUGAAUGCCCUGUACCGUCUGCAAGUGAUGCGUGGUGAGGCAAUGUCCCAUCUAAUGGCAUUGUUGGAGGCAACUAAGAUCACCCUGGAUAACAGAGAGGAGCUUGUGGUUGACUUGUCCACAGAGAUGGUGGAAAAGGACUUACAGGUGGAACAACUGUCAAAUGAGAUCCAAGAGCUUGAGGAAUUAGAAGGGACCAGGGAGAACACCAUCGAGGUUCUCGAGGAUCAGCUUAUCAACACUCAGCAGCAGCUUGCGGAGGCUAACGAGCACCUGGAUAUGCAUCAUCAGGAGAUCCAGGACAUGGAGGCCAACGAGGAUGUCGACAUUGAGGGAGGAGAGGAGCCUGCCUCCAGCUUGGACACUGCUGGCUCAGGGAGACCACCUUCCCCCGAGUCGAGUGUUGCCUCGUUCACUCACUAGGUAUCAGGGAUAGAGCUAGAAGUCGGUGAUGGUAGAACUCCUCGAAGCUAGCUUAGCUUUUGCACCACUAGGGUACUAAGCUAGAUAGAGUUGAGUAUUUUGGGCUAUUAAUGUAAUCGCGAUAAACUCUUUUGGAAGAAUGGUUGAUGAAUGAUGUCAGUCUUAAUUUAAGAAGGGAAUUUUUGCCAUGUGAAACCUUUUAUGAUUAUGCAAGAAUCUAUCCGUUUCGCCUUUUGACUCUUUCAUCGCGCUUGAACCUUGAACCUCAAAGAUGUGUAUUAAAAAUAUAUGUGAUUUUUCAGAUGGCCGGGAGAGCGCGUCGUGGUCAAAAUGAGCGUGUUCCUCCACCGCCGCCACCGCCUACUACUCUGCAGGAGCUAAUGGCCCAGCAGAAUGAGAUCUUGAGGCAGCUAGCUCAGCGUCAGCCGCCACCUCAGCACUAUAGUGGUGGUGAUCAUCAGCGUCACCCCGCAGCAGCCACCUACCAGGAGUUCCUCAGUACCCAGCCACCAUUGUUCACCAGGGCAGAGGACCCACUUGAUGCGGAUGUAUGGUUGAGAGUAGUGGAAUCCAAAAUUCCCGCUACUCCAUGGAGUUUGCUCAGAGGUCACUAAGGUCAGGUUCGCCACCCAGUAGCUUCGCGGACCCGCACGGACAUGGUGGGACCAUUUUCUUGCUAUGCAGCCAGAUGACCGAGAGGUGGAAUGGAGAGAGUUCAAGGCAGCUUUCAGGGGGCACCAUAUACCAGCAGGCAUUAUGGACCGAAAGCUCAACGAGUUUCUGGCACUCACGCAAGGGAACCGGACAGUGUUACAGUAUGCUCAGGCCUUCAAUGACCUAUGCCAGUAUGCCGGAUAUCAUGCAGACACGGACGAGAAGAAGAGGGACAGGUUCAGAAGGGGGCUCAGCACUAAGCUCCGUGAGCGUCUCAACACCAUCAGGGCCAACAGUUAUAAUGAGUUGGUCAACAUGGCCAUUUUUCAGGAGGACUGUAUCACGGCUCGUCAGGCAGAGAAGAAGAGGAAGACCCCUGUGGUAGGACCUUCAGCUCAGCCACAGUGUUUCAGGAUUGUGUCUGACACUCAGAACAGGGGACCGCAGCAGCAGCAAGGACGUUGGGUGAUCCGACCGCAACAGCAGCAGCAGGCACCCAACCGCACCCAGUUUCCAGCUCAGAGGAAUAAUCAACAGCAGCAGCAACUUCGUCAGGCUAAUGACAACAGGUGUUUCACAUGUGGCAACACUGGACAUUAUGCCAAGAAUUGCCCCAGAAACCAGCAGAGGUAGGGGCAGAAUGUUAAUCAGAACCAAGGCAAGAGGCAGAAGGUGCAAGUGAGGCAAGGCAGGCUGAACUUCACCACCAUGGCUGAUAUUCCAGAGGGAGCACCCGUCAUGACUGGUAUCUUUACAGUUUUGAAUUAUCCUGCUAUUAUUCUUUUUGAUUCUGGUGCAUCACAUAGUUUUAUCAGUGCCAAAUUUAGUGCCAAGUGUCAGUUACCUUUUCACCACACCAAUGGGGGUAUUACAAUUUCAACACCAGGAGGCAGGGUUGCCACCUACCAAAUCAACAAGAAUGUGCCUAUAAAGUUUGGUAGUCUGAUAAUCAAAACCAACCUCCUCAUUUUGGGUUUGGAUAGUGUGGAUAUCAUAUUGGGAACUGACUGGUUGACCAAACAUCAGGCAGUGAUUGAUAUUGCAGCUAGGGCCAUUGAAGUGCACUCAUCGACGUGUGGUGAAACCACAUUAUAUUUGCCCGACCAGGGUUGUACCCGUUCUUGUGCCUUCGUUAUGAUAGAGUCCCCAGUGGAAAGGAUCCAAGUGGUCUGUGACUACCUAGAUGUUUUUCCGGAUGAAUUGCAAGGGAUGCCACUUGACCAAGACAUCGAGUUCGCAAUCGAAUUGCAACCCGGGACUGCUCCUAUUUCCAAGAGACCCUAUAAGAUGCCUCCCGCGGAAAUUGGCAGAACUGAAAAAGCAACUGCAAGAGUUGUUGGACAAUGGGUUCAUUCGCCCAAGUACUUCACCGUGGGGAUGUCCGGCCUUGUUCGUAAAGAAGAAGGAUGAGAGUUUGAGAAUGUGUGUUGAUUACCGCCCUCUCAAUGCGGUGACCAUCAAGAACAAGUACCCACUGCCCCGCAUUGAUGUUUUGUUUGAUCAGUUGGUGGGAGCCAAGAUAUUCUCCAAGAUAUACCUAUGCUCGGGCUACCAUCAAAUCAAGAUCCGUGCCAGUGAUAUUCCGAAGACGGCUUUCUCGACCAGAUAUGGGAUUUAUGAGUUAUUGGUGAUGUCUUUUGGGCUGACCAAUGCCCCGACUUAUUUCAUGUACCUGAUGAACUCAGUAUUCAUGCCAGAGCUGGACAAGUUCGUUGUUGUUUUCAUUGAUGAUAUUCUGGUCUAUUCCAAGAAUGAAGACGAACAUACUGAGCAUCUGCACAUCGUGCUUCAGCGACUGCGCGAUCAUCGUCUUUAUGCUAAGUUGUCUAAAUGUGAGUUCUGGCUAAAGGAAAUUAAAUUCUUGUGUCACACAAUUUCUCAGGAUGGGAUAUAAGUUGAUCCUGAGAAGGUACAAGAAGUAAUGGAUUGGAAACCUCCUACCACAUGGCGGCAGAUUCAGAGUUUUCUAGGAUUGACAGGGUAUUAUCGACGAUUUAUUCCGGAUUUCUCCAGAAUUGCCAAGCCAAUGACUGAGUUAUUGAAGAAGGGAGUCAAAUAUGAUUGGAGCCAGAAGUGUAAGGAUGCCUUUCAUACACUAAGGCAGCAUUUGACAACAGCCCCAGUGCUAGCUCAACCUGAUAACACCAAGCCCCUUGAAGUUUAUUGUGAUGCUUCCGGUACUAGAUUGGGAUGCGUCUUAAUGCAAGAUAACAGAGUGAUUGCUUAUGCCUCCCGAGCACUCAGACCCCAUGAGCAGAACUACCCUACACAUGAUCUGGAGUUAGCAGAUGUGGUUCAUGCUCUCAAGAUAUGGAGACAUUACUUGAUGGGGGCUCACUGUAACAUUUACACUGAUCAUAAGAGUCUUAAAUACGUUUUCACUCAGGCAGAUCUUAACAUGAGGUAGAGAAGAUGGUUAGAGCUAAUCAAGGACUAUGAUUUGGAGGUGCAUUACCACCCUAGUAAAGCCAAUGUUGUGGCAGAUGCCUUGAGCAGGAAGGCCCAGUGCAAUUGUAUGAGCAUGGAUGCAAGAGUUACCACCCUGUGUGAUGAGUUGUGCAAGUUGAACCUAGAAGUUGUUUCUUCAGGUGCCUUAAGUUAUAUCUCGGUGGAGCCCACAUUACAAGAGCAAAUAGUUAGGGCACAAAUUGAAGACAAGGGUGUUCAGGUUAUCAAGGAAAUGAUCAAGCAGAAAGCAGAAAAAUACAAAUGCUUCCGUCAAGAUUGCAAAGGUGUUCUAUGGUUUGGAGAACGAUUGGUUGUUCCCAAGGUCCCUGAGCUCAGAAAGAAGAUAUUGGAUGAAGCUCACCUUUCAAAAUUCUCCAUGCACCCCGGCAGCUACAAGAUGUAUCAUGAUCUCAGAUCCUUAUACUGGUGGACCAGAAUGAAGAGGGAAAUUGCCAAGUACAUAUCCGAAUGUGACACUUGCCAGAGAAUCAAGGCCAGUCAUUUGAAGACAGCAGGCCCUUUGCAACCCCUCCCCAUACCAUCUUGUAAAUGGGAGGACAUUUGCAUUGACUUUAUCGUGGGAUUGCCCAAUACCUCCCGACACCAUGAUUCCAUUUGGGUUAUUGUGGACAGAUUGACCAAGUUAGCUCAUUUCUUGCCAGUACACACCACCCACAGGACGGAGAAGUAUGCGGAAAUCUACAUUGACCAGAUAGUUCGUUUGCAUGGAAUACCAAGGAGUAUAGUAUCGGACACAGGAGCACCAUUUGUGGCAUGAUUUUGGGAGAAAUUGCAGGAAUCACUUGGGACCCAUGUAAUACGAAGCUCAGCAUACCAUCCUCAAAAAGAUGGCCAGACCGAAAGGGUAAAUCAGAUUUUGGAAGACAUGUUGAGGGCAUGUUGUAAUAUCCCAAAAAAUAUUGACCAAAAGUUGAUCUUCGUUGCGUGGAUGAGGGAAAGAGUUGUGGCCCGUUGGAUGCAAAGUCAGGAGACAUCUGAGGCGUCGUUUCUUUCUCCCACAAAACCCUAGUGGUCGCCCCCUCCCUUUUCCCUUUUCUUGGCCGCCAACACCCCCUUUUCCCCACCUUUGGCCGCCCCUCCCCCUUCCCCUUGCAGCCGCCCUCCACUGCUUCCUCCUCCCUCUAGAUCUCCCCCCAUGCAGCAAGGAUCGAGAUGAGGAGGAGCAAGAUGGAUUGAAAAGGAAGAGAGGAUCAAGGAGAUGUUCUACCCCCAUCUCUUGCAGAUUUUCUUGGGGAAACCCUAGGUAAGGAUGGGAUCCUUGUUCCUCCGUAUAAUUAUGUGCUUUUGGAGGUUGUGGAUCAUGUGGAUUGAAGGAUUAGAGGUUGGAUUAGAUGUGGGGUUAGGUUUUGAUCUCGAAUUUAAUUUCUGCAGAAUGGCAGAUUCGACAGUUUCUGUUCAUGCCAGUUUUCCGUGGUCUUAGUGGCCUCAAAAAAAUAAAAAGUCUAUAUAUGAGUCGUAGAUAAUUUAUAGAUCUUUCUGUGGACGCGAAGAACACAAGAACAGAAAGUUAUUGCAGUUUGAUUAUAGCAGUUUUUUAGUCUCAUAAUUCUGUGCAGAAUCUGUUCUCUUAAGAGUUAGGCAAUUUUAUCAACAGAAUUAAAAUGUGGGUUGGUAAAAGAAGUUGUAGAUAAUUUCAUAAGCUUUCCAGAUUGUUAAAGAGUGCAUUCAUAUGAUUUAUGAAACUCCAGUUAUGUUUGUUUUACUGUGGUUGUUACUGUUUGCCUGACAAAAAUGAGCGGGUCUGUUCACUGAUGGGUUUCAUCUAGUAAAUGGCCGAAUUGGCUCUUCCAACUAUGGAGACUUUUGUAGAGGGAUAAAAGUUCUUACUGUCAGCAGAAUUUAAUAAUUUUUGGUUUAGUAGUUUGGGAGAUAUCGAAUUUUGAAGUUAACUAGGCUGCUGUCUAAAACAGAUUCAGUUAGUUAUCUUGUCAGAUUUUUAGAACUUAUUGAUGGCAGAAUUUAAUUAUCCAUUCAAUACCGAAGUUGUAGAGUAUUUUGUGUAGAUACUCCUAGAGUAUUUUUUGAUAUCACCACUGUUUUAAUUUUAAAGAUACAAAAUUAACAAACAGUGUUGCUGCUGUAUGGCAUGUGGUUCAGGGUGGGAGUCUUUCCACUGGGUCUUGGUUUCAAGUGUAGGAGUGUUUUGUUGAUCGUUGGCAAAUGUUUGUGAAAUAUUUGUACUAAGUUUUAUGCCCACUAGCAGGUGGCUACACUCCAGAUCAUGCCUAGUACAUUUUUCUUCUUCGAUGAAGGCAAGUGAAUGUAGUGGUGGUUGCUUCCGUUCUGACCUGUUAUUUCUAUUGCCUACACUCUAAUAUUUAGAAGUAUUGGAUUAUUUCAUAAUUGGACUCACCCCAGGUGUCAGUUUAGUGUUAUGACGGGAGAUUAAUCCUAAUCUCGGAUGCUCAGUAAAAAUUUCUCUUUCUCACUCGCGUAUGUCUCUGAUUAUCCAGCUUAUUCAUUCACAUUUCACCGAAUUCAGAAUUAUUCAAUCUCACAGAAGGCCAAAUUUGGAGCAUGUUAAAACUUUUAUUUCUCGGAACGAAUGCAAACUCAAAAAUCAUUCUCGAUUUAUAAAUCUUGUCUAAAGCUCGUUUAAUCAAGCGCUCGACAGUUGCUAGUCGAGCUGUGUCUGAAUCCAAUUUUCUCGAUGUUCUAUCUAUGUCCAAAAAUUUAUCCGACUCCGUACUCUCAAACGGAAUGCUUAAUAUGUCGUCAUCAAAUCAAUUUAUCCGACUCGGCUAAAUAUCUCAUGUCCGAACCAAAUUCACAACCCGCAUCGACAGUGCUUUUAAAAAUAUCACGAUUCGCCUUCUCCGGCUAAAAAUCCAAAGUCGAUCAAAUCUUAAGACGAUUUAUUUUCCAAUCACACGUAGGGAAUUAAUUUUCGAGCGAAUUCAAAACAGACUCUCGGCCGAGUUAAUCGCGCAACCUUCCGUUCGCCGAAACUCUAAUUCGCUCUGUUCUCUGUAGAAACGAAUUCCGCAACAGCAUUUUUUAUUCCAGGAAAUAAUUUAGCGCAGCCCGUUUGCGUGUUUGGGCCAACCCAAACCAGCCCAAUUGGGCCCAUUGGAAACCCUAACCCUAGGGCCUUCUAUAAAUAGAACCCCUCUCCCCUUGCAAACUGGAUUUUAUUCAUCUACCCCCCUAGCCGCCAUUUUCUUUUUCCCUGUCCCUUUCUUCCACACGGCAGCACGCAGGGAGCUCCCUCCCUGGAUCCAUGGCGUCCAAGCCCCUGUGCCCUCUCUCCCAUGGCGUGAGGCCCCUACUCCUAACUCUCUACCAGCGCCCAGCCAUGGUGGUCGCCGACCUCCCUGCUCCCGGCUGUUGCUCGCCUUGCUUGGAUGAGAAGCAGCCGAGCGCCCUCCCUGUCCUCUUGGUGCGAGCUCCCUGUUCCUGUCUUCCUCACGGCUGCGCGCAGGAGCUCCUCCCAGGGCCGCCGAGCUCCAUGUCCAUGGCGUGGAGCAGCAGCUCCCAUUCCCCUGCGAACCUCCCUGUCCAUGGCCACAAAUCCUUUCGCCCUUCUCUGCGCAGCGCCCCUGCUGUGUUUCUCCCGGCGAGCUCUCUGCUCUCGGCCGCUGGCAGCCAUGGCGCCCAGAAAAAUCCCACAGCCGAACUCCCCCAGCCGAGCCCCCAAGCAGCGCCCUCCCUGCUCCAUAGCUCAAGCCCGAGCUCACCCCCCUGGCGCUUGGAUCCCUGGAACGCAGCAGCUCUGCCCUCUCUCCCAUGGUUGUCCAGCCCCCUACUCCAAGGGCGUGAGCGCGCAGGGAUUUGCUCGACGCUGCAGCGCCCAGCCAUGGGGGCUGUAGGCCGAGCCCCUUUCCCGUGGACAGCCCCAACCUCCUCCUCUCUUCCCCACAAAACAGCAGACCCUAUGCCGAUCUUGUUCGUCUCGCUGCCACCGCUGCGCGCAUGCCUAGUGUUCGGCAUAAUGUCGAGGGAGAUGUGUUGUUACAUCACGCCGUGAUGCCGCCGUGUGUUCGCUGUUUUUGCGCAACCCCCUCCGCGACGCCGUCAAAACCCGUGGUGAGAAACACCCCGCUGCCCCUGCUGCUAUCCUAUUUUCUUUUGUGUGUGCUCGGUAAAAUGUUGAAAUGUUGUGUGUGUUUCAUCACAGCUAGCCGUCAAUGCCAUCCGUCGCGCACGCGUGUUCGAUGCGAGGCCGGUCGGGUGAACCACAUGCAUGCACAACUCAAAUCUGAUCCCGUUCAGGUUGAUUGAUUUAUAGUUUACCAUACGUAUGAUUUGGUUGAUGUCAUGCAGUGCACGUAUAUGUGUGGAUGUGUGUAAAAUGUUUUGGUUAUACGCAUUAGUAGAUUCGCAUUUGCGGUUGGAGAACAAGAAGUCGUUUGCUGUGUGCGAUUUGUAGUUUGUCUAAAUACAUUUUGGUCGAUGUGGUGUGUAUUGGUGUUUGAAUAUAUGUGGCUGCGAUGAUUCAUUUAUGUGUCACGAGGAUGGUUCGUGGAUGGUAUUAGUCGUUGGUUAAAAUACUUCGUCAUAAAGCAGUGUGUUAGUCGUGGUAAAUCUAAUAAAACGUAAAGCAUGUUUGGUGGUUUCCGCAGUCGGCUAAUGAGUUAGUCUAUGUUAAAUAUAUUUUAUGUGUUCCUCGUGGUGUAAGAUAGAGUGGGUCGAAGAUAUAAACUAUGAGACAUGUGAUUUUUGUUUAAGGACGAGAGGUGCGAACAAUCGGUUAGUGUUUCACUUGUCUAGUCGAUAAAUGUGGUCAUAAAUAAUUGUGCUCGACAUACAUGUUUGGUCGUUGUAUCACUUCCUCUAUAAUUAUAAGUCGAGUCAAAAUGCGGGAUACUAGUGGUACGCUAGACGGGUGGUGUCCAAAUAAAUUAACCGGUCGAUGUGGUGGUUGUCGUGUGUGAUUUAUUGUUAGUGAGUAGUUUGAAUUACGAGCUAUAUGAGGACUAUGUUGGAAACUAGUAGGCGGUGUGUAACUGCGUUCGUUUGGUGAAUAAUAGGUCGGUAGGUAAUUGUUGGUGUCAGUAGCAAAUGUAGUCUUAUGGAGUUUUACGCCAUGUGUAAAUGCCUCCACGAUAGACCCCAAAAAUGUACUAUUUAGGUGACUUGCGUGUUAACUAAUUCGAGUUGAGCAGUGGUUGAGAAACACUUAUUAAUCGGCUCCAACCCAUGUUUUUGAGUUACGAUGUCUAAAAUGGUUCGCUAAGUCUUAUACUGUGAUUAGCCAACUCAUGUUAAGUAGGAGUCGAUUGCGUAAGUGAUUGUGAUAUAUAGGUUGUGUCUAGGAUUGCGAUAAUAAUGGGCAAGCCGAUGUGUAUGGUGUAUAGCGGCCUAUGUGAUUGCGCUAGUUAGCCGAAUUGUUAGACGCCUUUGGUUAAAGCUCAUAAUCACGAUAAAUUGCUUGUUGUGGUCUAAAUGUGUAUAGUUGUGGUCGCGGGCAAAAGAGUAGUAGUGCUCAUGUGAUGUCUAAUUUAAAACACAAAUUGUUGGGUGAUUAUCGUGAAGAAUGUGUUGUUAAUUGGUUGUAGUAAUUUUAGUGCGCUAAAUAACUUGGAUGAAAAUUAGUGAGUCUACUUGUUAGUCUUCAUAUGAUUAUUUUAACUCUAACAAUUGGUAAAGUGUUAGAAUAAUUCAAGUCUCUAGAACGCGGCAAUUCUUGAAUUGUAUAGAAGCUGAAAUGUAUUGAUUGCUGUUUUGGACUGCACAUACUGUUUUCGGUGUGCUGUAUGUUUGAUGAACUAAAUUGUGUUUUCUGUAGAUAUGUGCUAUAGAAAAGUGGUAGAUAACUUUAUUAUCUUGCUGGUGUUAAAAUUUGACAGCCAUAGGUCUAACAGUUUAGGAGUUAUGCUGUUCACAAAUUCAGUAACUGAAUCUGUCCAAAUUCUGUACAGAUUUCAGAAAUUGUAUUGUUUGUUCAAUUUAAUGUUGCAAUCUGUUCAUGGUCGUCAUAAGAAAGUUGUAGAUUCUUUUCUGAUAUUUCUUGUGUUAAAAUUUGAUAACCACAGGCCUGAUAGUUUAAGAGUUAUGAAUUUUACAAACUGCUUGCUGUGUUCUGUCCACUGUCAGGGCAGAUUUCGAAAACUGUAAUGUUUGAUUGGAUUAAAUCUGGAAUCACUUCUUUGUGAUUAUAAAAGUUAUGUAGUGCUUUUGCUGAGCUUUCCAAAAAGUCUUGGAUCACUAUUUUUGGUGAUCUGAAGAUUAAGUUAUGGAUGUUUAAAGUCUGAAGAUUGAAUCUGUCCAAUUCUGGACAGCAGAGUCUUCUAGUGUAUUUUAUCCUUAGUUAAAUAUUGAAUCACCUUAAGAUGUUUAUAAAUGAUAUGUAGACAAUUUUAUUACCUUUCCAGAAAGUCUAGAAUCAGUUUGUUUGGAUGUCUAAAUCUCCAGUUGUGAAUUUUUGAAGUUGCAAGUCUGAAUCUGUCCAAAUCUGGACAGCGCUGUUGUAUUAGCACGUUUUGACCUUGCUAAGUGCUGAAUCAUGUUGUAAUGACAAUACCAAAGUUGUAGAGCACUUUCUAAGAUUUCCAGAAAGUCCCAGUUUUCUAUUUUUGGAUUAAUAAUUGAAGAGAUAUGAUUAAAACAAGUAACUGCUGUACUGCUGUCCUAAAAAUCUGCAUGUGCUCAAUUAAUUGUUAGUUCACCCUUUUUGGCUAAAAAUGGUUGGUUAGCACUAAAUUCAUAUAGAAUUGCCAUGGCUAAGCUUGAGAUAACAUAUGUGUCAUGUUUUUAUAUGUUUCUUUCUCUAGUAAAUUGUGAUGUAGUAUUGUGUUGCGUAAAUGUCCAAAAUGUUUGUCGUCUUUUUAGUGGUGUUAAUGUUGUGCGUUCGACAAUAUGUAGUUAGCUAACGCUAGUGGGUGUGGUUGCUUGUGAUGUCUCGCUACUUAGUGUUUAAUUCGCUAGCGUGUACCUAAAGUAUCUUGUGCUAUUCCAUUAUAUUCAUACAUAUGCAUCUUGCAUCUCAUAUAGGACCGAGAGGUGACGACCGUGCAAGUGAUGUGGUGCCAACCACAAGAUGCAGUUGGUGGACGUACUGAAGAAUGGUGGACUUAACCAGUGGAUGCUCGCCGAGCGAGUACCCUCCCCCAACAAACACUAUCAAAGUGUCAAAUUAAAGGCAAGCCCCGGUUUUAUGCAUAACCUGUUAUUUAUGCUAUUUUACUUCACUUAAUGAUUGUAGGAUUGAUUGUGCACUUAGGUGUAGGAAUUGUUUGAAGCCCUAGUUGCAUGAUCUCAGGAAUCCUUUUGAAAUGAAUACUAGUAUGACAGGUCGAGUAGUUGCUUUAUUUAAUUAGGAUCUCGGUAGAAGACGAGUGAUUUUUCUAGCACUCGCGCGAGAUCAGGAAAUUGAUUGUACCCACUUUCACAUUGUCAUGAUACUAGUUGGUGGACAACAAUCCAUGGGGAUUGGUUGUUUACAAGGUAAAAAUGGGAAUAAGGAUUAAGGUGUGGUACCGUGUGUCAAGCGUUUGAACGUACUAAACACAUACCGAGAAAUAUGGUAAAUCGGUAAGCCUAGUACCUGAUUGAACCUGGCAGUAGACUUUGCCCCUCACGCGACCUGAGACGAGGUCUCCCAUUCCGGUUAUGGUGGGUACAAGUGCGGUCACUGCACGACGGCCAGUCGGGGUCAGUGAGGCAUUGUACGCCAAGGCGGUGAGCCCUGAUCUGCUGACGGGGAAUCGAUGGGGACGGUUGAUGUGUGUGGGGACGGAAUGCCCCUGCAUGUCGUGUGUUUAGGUUUACCUUGCAAGGAUAAAAACUCGAUUCGAAUCGUCUGCUUCUCGCAGCUAAUGAGACUGCUUGAUCCAUGCUGCUACAUUGAGUAAUAAGUGGAAAUGUGGUGACCGGCAAAAGAUGUUGAUUGAUAAAAUGUUUGAUACCAUGUAUGACUAGCUAGGUACACAUCUAGUUCUAAAGGAUUCCACUAAAACUUGAAAAGCUAAAACUUGUUUUUAGACUCAGCUAGUGCUUUUGGCAAACCAAACCCCUCAGCCAAACAGCUGCAUGUCUAGAGGUAGAGGAGUAGACUCCUCACACCGGGUAAGUCUAGCUGAGUAUUAGUAUACUCAGCCUUGCUUGUGGCACAAUUUUUUGCAGGUACUCCUUAGGAUGAUUUGUUGCUGGUGUGACUUGGCCUUCAUCCCUGCCACCGGGAUAGACGGUCGAGUGGGUUAUUGCUUCCGCAGGAGAGGACCAGGAGGAGUAGCGUGGCCAGGCUUCGCCAUGUUACUCGGUUUUCUCCGUUAGUUAUUUCCGCUGCAUUAAAAUUUAUGGUUAUUAUUUCUGAAACUCCGAUAAUGUAAUCACUAAUGAUACUCCGUAAAUUUGUGGUAUUAUGCUUUAUUGUAUUUCUCUGUGCCUCACCUUCGAGUGAGCUAGUGGUAUUCGAUCCUGGUAAGUGGCUUUAUCGGACUAGAUCCGAGGGACUGACGGGUUAUUCCUGUUUAAGUGUGUUGCUGCCCUUAAGGGUGCGACUUGGGCACUUAAGCUGGAAUAAUUCAGGCGGUUCCGCCACAGCUGGUAUCGGAGCGAAUACCAUUACAGAGAAGUCAAUAAGUCAUGAUUACCAACCUUUUCAAAAGUAAAACUUGCUUAAAAACCCAGUUGGAUAGAUGUCAGGACGAUCAGGAUAGACCUAGGACGUGAAGCUUUAGGAAAUAGAUGGGUAGUUAGGUGGCUAUUUAUUUAGGCCAUAAAGGCUACUACUACUAUUAAUAAGGAUGCUGUAGAAGCACCCGAAAAAUUAGUUAGGUCUGAGAAGACGACUAGAAUGAGCAUGCAUCAUGGUUGUCGCAUCAUUGUCUCUUGUGCACCAACAUGCUUCCCUCACCUUUAUUCCAAUAAUAAGAACUUGUGAAUAAUGUAAUGUACUGCUAUGUUAGGAACUAUAAGAAAUGCCUUACCUUGUGUUGGAUUGGUAAGUCAUGUUAGGCGUGUUAUGUGUUUCUCUUGCCUUGCUAUCUAGGUGGUAUUGAAAUUGUUCAACCCUUUUUGCAAAAAAAAAUGUGUGUUGUUUGUUUCCUCAUAAAAAGACACCCCCACUUUAAACAACCUUGAGUUUAGCGAGUGAAACCUCAAAAAAAAAAUAGUUAUGCUUGUGUUAGUGUUUUUCUAACCCUUGUGUGUUUUACCCAUAAAGUUACACCUGCACAGCUUAUAGAACCCCACAGCUUGACCGCUAGACCAACCCCAGUCUCCUUGUGCACUUGUUGCGUCAAAAAAAAAUCGUUUGGUGUCUAGUUGCGCAAACCCUAUCAAGGCCAUGUUUCUUUCCAUAAAUCCUUACACCUAAAACUUCAUAGCAUUCCUGUUGAUCAUCCAGCUGAUCUAGUUGACGACCUCUCUUUUCACCUGGAUCUAGUACUCUCUUUCCUUGUGAAUCAUGUUGUGGCUUUAUCAUCCGAAUCUCUCGAUCCCUUAAUGAUUCUGCCCCGUUAUCUGGUUAUCUGCUAUAACCCGCUCUCAAGUAUCGAAUGUUGAUCUUGCCUAAAUCUCUCAUUUCUGGUCAUUCUCAUACCCCCUUCUCUGAGGAUCAUGACGCUUGUUUUAUCAACUUAUCUCUAAAUGGCAUAUCCAUUUGGUUCAAUGGAUUUGAUUGUUGUCCUUUGUUCUCUCAUGUCUCUAAAAGCUCAUCAAUCUUGAUCUCAUGGUUGGUUCCUCCUCGUAUUAAAUAUCGUAUCAAUUUUUGGCUGAUAAUCCUCCUAAUGAUCAUAAAAUAGUUCUCUAAGUUGAAGAGUUCUCAUGUGAUGCUCUUUUGCUAAUAAUCUCUACUUCAACUUCGAUCACAUUCUUAUUUUCUGAGCCAUACUCUUAUGGGCUCCAUCUAUCUUUGCUAUGUGGAUUUCUUAUUGGUUACGUUUGGUAAUGGCGUCAUGACUAACGACUGAUGGUGCCGCGACGAAACCGAGAGCCUACUAUGGUGCACACAUGGUUGAGCUGCUCGGCACGCGCUGGUAUCGUGGUUAAUAGUCGUGUCCAUUACGAGACUAUACUGAUGUGCUAUCUUUUGUGGAUAUUCUCUCAAAGUGAUCGCUGCAUUUUGUCUCAACAUGCCGCGAUAUUCUAUCCAAAUCUAUCUUCUGUAUCUUGUCAGAUCCCAUCUCAUGAAUUUGCAUCUAUCUUUAGUCUGGGAGUUACAUGCUUCUCCACCCUUAAAUAUCCUCAUUCGAAUCUCGGGACGAGAUUCUUUUUAAGGGGGGAAGGCUGUGACACCCCAGGUGUCAGUUUAGUGUUAUGACGGGAGAUUAAUCCUAAUCUCGGAUGCUCAGUAAAAAUUUCUCUUUCUCACUCGCGUAUGUCUCUGAUUAUCCAGCUUAUUCAUUCACAUUUCACCGAAUUCAGAAUUAUUCAAUCUCACAGAAGGCCAAAUUUGGAGCAUGUUAAAACUUUUAUUUCUCGGAACGAAUGCGAACUAAAAAAUCAUUCUCGAUUUAUAAAUCUUGUCUAAAGCUCGUUUAACCAAGCGCUCGACAGUUGCUAGUCGAGCUGUGUCUGAAUCCAAUUUUCUCGAUGUUCUAUCUAUGUCCAAAAAUUUAUCCGACUCCGUACUCUCAAACGGAAUGCUUAAUAUGUCGUCAUCAAAUCAAUUUAUCCGACUCGGCUAAAUAUCUCAUGUCCGAACCAAAUUCACAACCCGCAUCGACAGUGCUUUUAAAAAUAUCACGAUUCGCCUUCUCCGGCUAAAAAUCCAAAGCCGAUCAAAUCUUAAGACGAUUUAUUUUCCAAUCACACGUAGGGAAUUAAUUUUCGAGCGAAUUCAAAACAGACUCUCGGCCGAGUUAAUCGCGCAACCUUCCGUUCGCCGAAACUCUAAUUCGCUCUGUUCUCUGUAGAAACGAAUUCCGCAGCAGCAUUUUUUAUUCCAGGAAAUAAUUUAGCGCAGCCCGUUUGCGUGUUUGGGCCAACCCAAACCAGCCCAAUUGGGCCCAUUGGAAACCCUAACCCUAGGGCCUUCUAUAAAUAGAACCCCUCUCCCCUUGCAAACUGAAUUUUAUUCAUCUACCCCCCUAGCCGUCAUUUUCUUUUUCCCUGCCCCUUUCUUCCACACGGCAGCACGCAGGGAGCUCCCUCCCUGGAUCCAUGGCGUCCAAGCCCCUGUGCCCUCUCUCCCAUGGCGUGAGGCCCCUACUCCUAACUCUCUACCAGCGCCCAGCCAUGGUGGUCGCCGACCUCCCUGCUCCCGGCUGUUGCUCGCCUUGCUUGGAUGAGAAGCAGCCGAGCGCCCUCCCUGUCCUCUUGGCGCGAGCUCCCUGUUCCUGUCUUCCUCACGGCUGCGUGCAGGAGCUCCUCCCAGGGCCGCCGAGCUCCAUGUCCAUGGCGUGGAGCAGCAGCUCCCAUUCCCCUGCGAACCUCCCUGUCCAUGGCCACAAAUCCUUUCGCCCUUCUCUGCGCAGCGCCCCUGCUGUGUUUCUCCCGGCGAGCUCUCUGCUCUCGGCCGCUGGCAGCCAUGGCGCCCAGAAAAAUCCCACAGCCGAACUCCCCCAGCCGAGCCCCCAAGCAGCGCCCUCCCUGCUCCAUAGCUCAAGCCCGAGCUCACCCCCUGGCGCUUGGAUCCCUGGAACGCAGCAGCUCUGCCCUCUCUCCCAUGGUUGUCCAGCCCCCUACUCCAAGGGCGUGAGCGCGCAGGGAUUUGCUCGACGCCGCAGCGCCCAGCCAUGGGUGCUGUAGGCCGAGCCCCUUUCCCGUGGACAGCCCCAACCUCCUCCUCUCUUCCCCACAAAACAGCAGACCCUAUGCCGAUCUUGUUCGUCUCGCUGCCACCGCUGCGCGCAUGCCUAGUGUUCGGCAUAAUGUCGAGGGAGAUGUGUUGUUACAGCACGCCGUGAUGCCGCCGUGUGUUCGCUGUUUUUGCGCAACCCCCUCCGCGACGCCGUCAAAACCCGUGGUGAGAAACACCCCGCUGCCCCUGCUGCUAUCCUAUUUUCUUUUGUGUGUGCUCAGUAAAAUGUUGAACUGUUGUGUGUGUUUCAUCACAGCUAGCCGUCAAUGCCAUCCGUCGUGCACGCGUGUUCGAUGCGAGGCCGGUCGGGUGAACCACAUGCAUGCACAACUCAAAUCUGAUCCCGUUCAGGUUGAUUGAUUUAUAGUUUACCAUACGUAUGAUUUGGUUGAUGUCAUGCAGUGCACGUAUAUGUGUGGAUGUGUGUAAAAUGUUUUGGUUAUACGCAUUAGUAGAUUCGCAUUUGCGGUUGGAGAACAAGAAGUCGUUUGCUGUGUGCGAUUUGUAGUUUGUCUAAAUACGUUUUGGUCGAUGUGGUGUGUAUUGGUGUUUGAAUAUAUGUGGCUGCGAUGAUUCAUUUAUGUGUCACGAGGAUGGUUCGUGGAUGGUAUUAGUCGUUGGUUAAAAUACUUCGUCAUAAAGCAGUGUGUUAGUCGUGGUAAAUCUAAUAAAACGUAAAGCAUGUUUGGUGGUUUCCGCAGUCGGCUAAUGAGUUAGUCUAUGUUAAAUAUAUUUUAUGUGUUCCUCGUGGUGUAAGAUAGAGUGGGUCGAAGAUAUAAACUAUGAGACAUGUGAUUUGUGUUUAAGGACGAGAGGUGCGAACAAUCGGUUAGUGUUUCACUUGUCUAGUCGAUAAAUGUGGUCAUAAAUAAUUGUGCUCGACAUACAUGUUUGGUCGUUGUAUCACUUCCUCUAUAAUUAUAAGUCGAGUCAAAAUGCGGGAUACUAGUGGUACGCUAGACGGGUGGUGUCCAAAUAAAUUAACCGGUCGAUGUGGUGGUUGUCGUGUGUGAUUUAUUGUUAGUGAGUAGUUUGAAUUACGAGCUAUAUGAGGACUAUGAUGGAAACUAGUAGGCGGUGUGUAACUGCGUUCGUUUGGUGAAUAAUAGGUCGGUAGGUAAUUGUUGGUGUCAGUAGCAAAUGUAGUCUUAUGGAGUUUUACGCCAUGUGUAAAUGCCUCCACGAUAGACCCCAAAAAUGUACUAUUUAGGUGACUUGCAUGUUAACUAAUUCGAGUUGAGCAGUGGUUGAGAAACACUUAUUAAUCGGCUCCAACCCAUGUUUUUGAGUUACGAUGUCUAAAAUGGUUCGCUAAGUCUUAUACUGUGAUUAGCCAACUCAUGUUAAGUAGGAGUCGAUUGCGUAAGUGAUUGUGAUAUAUAGGUUGUGUCUAGGAUUGCGAUAAUAAUGGGCAAGCCGAUGUGUAUGGUGUAUAGCGGCCUAUGUGAUUGCGCUAGUUAGCCGAAUUGUUAGACGCCUUUGGUUAAAGCUCAUAAUCACGAUAAAUUGCUUGUUGUGGUCUAAAUGUGUAUAGUUGUGGUCGCGGGCAAAAGAGUAGUAGUGCUCAUGUGAUGUCUAAUUUAAAACACAAAUUGUUGGGUGAUUAUCGUGAAGAAUGCGUUGUUAAUUGGUUGUAGUAAUUUUAGUGCGCUAAAUAACUUGGAUGAAAAUUAGUGAGUCUACUUGUUAGUCUUCAUAUGAUUAUUUUAACUCUAACAAUUGGUAAAGUGUUAGAAUAAUUCAAGUCUCUAGAACGCGGCAAUUCUUGAAUUGUAUAGAAGCUGAAAUGUAUUGAUUGCUGUUUUGGACUGCACAUACUGUUUUCGGUGUGCUGUAUGUUUGAUGAACUAAAUUGUGUUUUCUGUAGAUAUGUGCUAUAGAAAAGUGGUAGAUAACUUUAUUAUCUUGCUGGUGUUAAAAUUUGACAGCCAUAGGUCUAACAGUUUAGGAGUUAUGCUGUUCACAAAUUCAGUAACUGAAUCUGUCCAAAUUCUGUACAGAUUUCAGAAAUUGUAUUGUUUGUUCAAUUUAAUGUUGCAAUCUGUUCAUGGUCGUUAUAAGAAAGUUGUAGAUUCUUUUCUGAUCUUUCUUGUGUUAAAAUUUGAUAACCACAGGCCUGAUAGUUUAAGAGUUAUGAAUUUUACAAACUGCUUGCUGUGUUCUGUCCACUGUCAGGGCAGAUUUCGAAAACUGUAAUGUUUGAUUGGAUUAAAUCUGGAAUCACUUCUUUGUGAUUAUAAAAGUUAUGUAGUGCUUUUGCUGAGCUUUCCAAAAAGUCUUGGAUCACUAUUUUUGGUGAUCUGAAGAUUAAGUUAUGGAUGUUUAAAGUCUGAAGACUGAAUCUGUCCAAUUCUGGACAGCAGAGUCUUCUAGUGUAUUUUAUCCUUAGUUAAAUAUUGAAUCACCUUAAGAUGUUUAUAAAUGAUAUGUAGACAAUUUUAUUACCUUUCCAGAAAGUCUAGGAUCACUUUGUUUGGAUGUCUAAAUCUCCAGUUGUGAAUUUUUGAAGUUGCAAGUCUGAAUCUGUCCAAAUCUGGACAGCGCUGUUGUAUUAGCACGUUUUGACCUUGCUAAGUGCUGAAUCAUGUUGUAAUGACAAUACCAAAGUUGUAGAGCACUUUCUAAGAUUUCCAGAAAGUCCCAGUUUUCUAUUUUUGGAUUAAUAAUUGAAGAGAUAUGAUUAAAACAAGUAACUGCUGUACUGCUGUCCUAAAAAUCUGCAUGUGCUCAAUUAAUUGUUAGUUCACCCUUUUUGGCUAAAAAUGGUUGGUUAGCACUAAAUUCAUAUAGAAUUGCCAUGGCUAAGCUUGAGAUAACAUAUGUGUCAUGUUUUUAUAUGUUUCUUUCUCUAGUAAAUUGUGAUGUAGUAUUGUGUUGCGUAAAUGUCCAAAAUGUUUGUCGUCUUUUUAGUGGUGUUAAUGUUGUGCGUUCGACAAUAUGUAGUUAGCUAACGCUAGUGGGUGUGGUUGCUUGUGAUGUCUCGCUACUUAGUGUUUAAUUCGCUAGCGUGUACCUAAAGUAUCUUGUGCUAUUCCAUUAUAUUCAUACAUAUGCAUCUUGCAUCUCAUAUAGGACCGAGAGGUGACGACCGUGCAAGUGAUGUGGUGCCAACCACAAGAUGCAGUUGGUGGACGUACUGAAGAAUGGUGGACUUAACCAGUGGAUGCUUGCCGAGCGAGUACCCUCCCCCAACAAACACUAUCAAAGUGUCAAAUUAAAGGCAAGCCCCGGUUUUAUGCAUAACCUGUUAUUUAUGCUAUUUUACUUCACUUAAUGAUUGUAGGAUUGAUUGUGCACUUAGGUGUAGGAAUUGUUUGAAGCCCUAGUUGCAUGAUCUCAGGAAUCCUUUUGAAAUGAAUACUAGUAUGACAGGUCGAGUAGUUGCUUUAUUUAAUUAGGAUCUCGGUAGAAGACGAGUGAUUUUUCUAGCACUCGCGCGAGAUCAGGAAAUUGAUUGUAUCCACUUUCACAUUGUCAUGAUACUAGUUGGUGGACAACAAUCCAUGGGGAUUGGUUGUUUACAAGGUAAAAAUGGGAAUAAGGAUUAAGGUGUGGUACCGUGUGUCAAGCGUUUGAACGUACUAAACACAUACCGAGAAAUAUGGUAAAUCGGUAAGCCUAGUACCUGAUUGAACCUGGCAGUAGACUUUGCCCCUCACGCGACCUGAGACGAGGUCUCCCAUUCCGGUUAUGGUGGGUACAAGUGCGGUCACUGCACGACGGCCAGUCGGGGUCAGUGAGGCAUUGUACGCCAAGGCGGUG